rnacentral:rRNA from 1 species
GACGAACGCUGGCGGCGUGCUUAACACAUGCAAGUCGAACGGAAAGGCCCUGCUUUUGUGGGGUGCUCGAGUGGCGAACGGGUGAGUAACACGUGAGUAACCUGCCCUUGACUUUGGGAUAACUUCAGGAAACUGGGGCUAAUACCGGAUAGGAGCUCCUGCUGCAUGGUGGGGGUUGGAAAGUUUCGGCGGUUGGGGAUGGACUCGCGGCUUAUCAGCUUGUUGGUGGGGUAGUGGCUUACCAAGGCUUUGACGGGUAGCCGGCCUGAGAGGGUGACCGGCCACAUUGGGACUGAGAUGCGGCCCAGACUCCUACGGGAGGAAGCAGUGGGGAAUAUUGCACAAUGGGCGGAAGCCUGAUGCAGCAACGCCGCGUGCGGGAUGACGGCCUUCGGGUUGUAAACCGCUUUCGCCUGUGACGAAGCGUGAGUGACGGUAAUGGGUAAAGAAGCACCGGCUAACUACG